GAUGAACGCUAGCGGCAGGCCUAACACAUGCAAGUCGAGGGAGAGGUUAUCUUCGGGUAACCAAAACCGGCGCACGGGUGCGUAACGCGUAUACAAUCUGCCUUUCACAUAGGGAUAGCCCGAAGAAAUUUGGAUUAAUACCUAAUGGUAUAUAGGAGCGGCAUCGUUUUUAUAUUAAAGCUACGGUGGUGAAAGAUGAGUAUGCGUUCUAUUAGCUAGUUGGAGAGGUAACGGCUCCCCAAGGCGACGAUAGAUAGGGGUUCUGAGAGGGAUGUCCCCCACACUGGUACUGAGAUACGGACCAGACUCCUACGGGAGGCAGCAGUGAGGAAUAUUGGACAAUGGUCGGAAGACUGAUCCAGCCAUGCCGCGUGCAGGAUGAAGGUCCUAUGGAUUGUAAACUGCUUUUGUAAGGGAAGAAUAAGGAGUACGUGUACUUUGAUGACGGUACCUUACGAAUAAGCAUCGGCUAACUCCGUGCCAGCAGCCGCGGUAAUACGGAGGAUGCGGGCGUUAUCCGGAAUCAUUGGGUUUAAAGGGUCCGUAGGCGGGCUGAUAAGUCAGAGGUGAAAGCGCUUAGCUCAACUAAGCAACUGCCUUUGAAACUGUCAGUCUUGAAUGAUUGUGAAGUAGUUGGAAUGUGUAGUGUAGCGGUGAAAUGCUUAGAUAUUACACAGAACACCGAUAGCGAAGGCAUAUUACUAACAAUUUAUUGACUCUGAUGGACGAACGCGUGGGGGGGGACAAGAUUGGAUACUUGGCGUGGCAAUGGAAGGUUGCAUACCGCAUUGGGGUGCGGGCCGGGGGACCUCUAGUUCUAGAGCGGCGCGCCACGGGAGCUCAAUUCUACAUAAAGUGAGUAGUAUAACGCGCGCUCCUGGUCGUACAUUACAAAGUU
rnacentral:rRNA from 1 species